rnacentral:rRNA from 1 species
CAGCAGCCGCGGGAAUACGUAGGGUGCAAGCGUUAAUCGGAAUUACUGGGCGUAAAGCGUGCGCAGGCGGUUCGUUAAGACAGAUGUGAAAUCCCCGGGCUUAACCUGGGAACUGCAUUUGUGACUGGCGGGCUAGAGUAUGGCAGAGGGGGGUAGAAUUCCACGUGUAGCAGUGAAAUGCGUAGAGAUGUGGAGGAAUACCGAUGGCGAAGGCAGCCCCCUGGGCCAAUACUGACGCUCAUGCACGAAAGCGUGGGGAGCAAACAGGAUUAGAUACCCGCGUAGUCCCUGUCUCUUAUAC